rnacentral:misc_RNA from 1 species
AAGCUAAACAUAUAUCAAUACUCCCAUUAACACCAAACUCACUCUUCAAGGAAAGAGCCUUGAGUAACUGGUCAAAAGAUGACAACAUCUUGCUGAAUAUAUCACCAGAACUACUUGAAACUGAUUUCACAGAGGUUCUCCUGGUUCUGAAAGGUAAAUUUUUUAGAUCAACUAAAAUCUUUCUGAAGAUCUCAAGAAUUUCAGCAGCUGCCUUUUUAG